AAGUGUUAUGUUCGUAACGACAGAGAUAGUGUCUCAUGUAGUUCUAGUUUGCAUUUUUUGGACUAGAUAGGAUUAGGUGGGCGCUUAUACUUUGGGUUGGGAUGUGUUUAAAAGAAAAAAAAGGGGGUUGAUUCAUUGAUGAGAAAAGGUAAAAGACUCUAGGUGAAGUAAGCUAAAGAAGCAGAAAAAGUCUAGUAAAGGUUUGGAAUUUGUAAAGAAAAGAAAGAGUUCUUGUUAGCUAUUGGAGAUGGGCAAAAGCCCU
rnacentral:sRNA from 1 species